AGAGUUUGAUCCUGGCUCAGAACGAACGCUGGCGGCGUGCCUAACACAUGCAAGUCGUACGAGAAAAUCCGCUUCGGCGGGUGAGUAAAGUGGCGCACGGGUGAGUAACGCGUGGAUAAUCUGCCUUUAAGCGGGGAAUAACUUACCGAAAGGUGGGCUAAUACCCCAUAAAGCUAUGGAGCUCCGGUUUUCAUAGCCAAAGAGAGCCUCUGCAUGCAAGCCCUCACUUAGAGAUGAGUCCGCGUACCAUUAGCUAGUUGGUGGGGUAAUGGCCUACCAAGGCGACGAUGGUUAGCUGGUCUGAGAGGAUGAUCAGCCACUCUGGAACUGAGACACGGUCCAGACUCCUACGGGAGGCAGCAGUGAGGAAUAUUGCGCAAUGGGGGCAACCCUGACGCAGCAACGCCGCGUGAGUGAGGAAGGUUUUCGGAUCGUAAAGCUCUGUCGGGUGGGAAGAAAUGUAUGGAGGUUAACAGCCUUUGUACUUGACGGUACCGCCAAAGGAAGCACCGGCUAACUCCGUGCCAGCAGCCGCGGUAAUACGGGGGGUGCUAGCGUUGUUCGGAAUCAUUGGGCGUAAAGAGCGUGUAGGCGGCUAGGCAAGUCAGAUGUGAAAUCCCUGGGCUUAACCCAGGACGUGCAUUUGAAACUGCUUGGCUUGAGUAGGGAAGAGGGGAGUGGAAUUCCUGGUGUAGAGGUGAAAUUCGUAGAUAUCAGGAGGAACACCGGUGGCGAAGGCGACUUCCUGGUCCUAUACUGACGCUGAGACGCGAGAGCGUGGGGAGCAAACAGGAUUAGAUACCCUGGUAGUCCACGCCGUAAACG
rnacentral:rRNA from 1 species